rnacentral:rRNA from 1 species
UACGUAGGGCGCAAGCGUUAUCCGGAAUUAUUGGGCGUAAAGAGCUCGUAGGCGGUUUGUCGCGUCUGCCGUGAAAGUCCGGGGCUCAACUCCGGAUCUGCGGUGGGUACGGGCAGACUAGAGUGAUGUAGGGGAGACUGGAAUUCCUGGUGUAGCGGUGAAAUGCGCAGAUAUCAGGAGGAACACCGAUGGCGAAGGCAGGUCUCUGGGCCAUAACUGACGCUGAGAAGCGAAAGCCAGGGGAGCAAACGGG